rnacentral:rRNA from 1 species
GACGAACGCUGGCGGCGUGCAUAACACAUGCAAGUCAAGGGGGUCAGUAGCAAUACUGGCAACCGGCGAACGGGUGCGUAACACGUAAGCGACCUACCUCAAUGUGGGGCAUAGCCGGCCUAACGGCCGGGUAAUUCCGCAUGUGAUCUUGGAGGGGCAUCUCUCCGGGAUGAAACCAGUAAUGGGCAUUGAGAGGGGCUUGCGGCCUAUCAGCUUGUGGUGAGGUAACGGCUCACCAAGGCUACGACGGGUAGCUGGUCUGAGAGGACGACCAGUCACACUGGAACUGAGACACGGUCCAGACACC